GACGAACGCUGGCGGCGUGGAUUAGGCAUGCAAGUCGAACGGUAUCAUCCUUUCGGGGGUGAGAGAGUGGCGAACUGGUGAGUAACACGUAGGUUAUCUACCCUCAAGACGGGGACAACCCAGGGAAACUUGGGCUAAUACCGGAUGUGAGCAACUUUUAGUUGUUUGAAAGGUGGCGUAAGCUGUCGCUUGGGGAUGAGCCUGCGUCCUAUUAGUUAGUUGGUGAGGUAACGGCUCACCUAGGCAAUGAUAGGUAGGCGGCCUUAACGGGUGGUCGCCCACACUGGGAUUGAGAUACGGCCCAGACUCCUACGGGAGGCAGCAGUCGAGAAUAGUCUACAAUGGUCGGAAGACUGAUAGUGCGACGCCGCGUGAACGAUGAAUCCCUUCGGGGUGUAAAGUUCUUUUAUAUGUGAGCAGUGCUUCUUAUAUUAACAGUAUGGGGAGAGAGAUAUUAGCAUAUGAAUAAGCAAACGGCUAAACUCCGUGCCAGCAGCCGCGGUAAACUCGU
rnacentral:rRNA from 1 species